UUCGCAGAGUGUAAAGGCACAAGGGAGCUUGACUGCGAGACAGACAGGUCGAGCAGGGACGAAAGUCGGGCUUAGUGAUCCGGUGGUACCGUAUGGAAGGGCCAUCGCUCAACGGAUAAAAGCUACCCUGGGGAUAACAGGCUUAUCUCCCCCAAGAGUCCACAUCGACGGGGAGGUUUGGCACCUCGAUGUCGGCUCAUCGCAUCCUGGGGCUGUA
rnacentral:rRNA from 1 species